GAUGAACGCUGGCGGCGUGCCUAAUACAUGCAAGUCGAGCGAACGGACGAGAAGCUUGCUUCUCUGAUGUUAGCGGCGGACGGGUGAGUAACACGUGGAUAACCUACCUAUAAGACUGGGAUAACUUCGGGAAACCGGAGCUAAUACCGGAUAAUAUUUUGAACCGCAUGGUUCAAAAGUGAAAGACGGUCUUGCUGUCACUUAUAGAUGGAUCCGCGCUGCAUUAGCUAGUUGGUAAGGUAACGGCUUACCAAGGCAACGAUGCAUAGCCGACCUGAGAGGGUGAUCGGCCACACUGGAACUGAGACACGGUCCAGACUCCUACGGGAGGCAGCAGUAGGGAAUCUUCCGCAAUGGGCGAAAGCCUGACGGAGCAACGCCGCGUGAGUGAUGAAGGUCUUCGGAUCGUAAAACUCUGUUAUUAGGGAAGAACAUAUGUGUAAGUAACUGUGCACAUCUUGACGGUACCUAAUCAGAAAGCCACGGCUAACUACGUGCCAGCAGCCGCGGUAAUACGUAGGUGGCAAGCGUUAUCCGGAAUUAUUGGGCGUAAAGCGCGCGUAGGCGGUUUUUUAAGUCUGAUGUGAAAGCCCACGGCUCAACCGUGGAGGGUCAUUGGAAACUGGAAAACUUGAGUGCAGAAGAGGAAAGUGGAAUUCCAUGUGUAGCGGUGAAAUGCGCAGAGAUAUGGAGGAACACCAGUGGCGAAGGCGACUUUCUGGUCUGUAACUGACGCUGAUGUGCGAAAGCGUGGGGAUCAAACAGGAUUAGAUACCCUGGUAGUCCACGCCGUAAACGAUGAGUGCUAAGUGUUAGGGGGUUUCCGCCCCUUAGUGCUGCAGCUAACGCAUUAAGCACUCCGCCUGGGGAGUACGACCGCAAGGUUGAAACUCAAAGGAAUUGACGGGGACCCGCACAAGCGGUGGAGCAUGUGGUUUAAUUCGAAGCAACGCGAAGAACCUUACCAAAUCUUGACAUCCUUUGACAACUCUAGAGAUAGAGCCUUCCCCUUCGGGGGACAAAGUGACAGGUGGUGCAUGGUUGUCGUCAGCUCGUGUCGUGAGAUGUUGGGUUAAGUCCCGCAACGAGCGCAACCCUUAAGCUUAGUUGCCAUCAUUAAGUUGGGCACUCUAAGUUGACUGCCGGUGACAAACCGGAGGAAGGUGGGGAUGACGUCAAAUCAUCAUGCCCCUUAUGAUUUGGGCUACACACGUGCUACAAUGGACAAUACAAAGGGCAGCGAAACCGCGAGGUCAAGCAAAUCCCAUAAAGUUGUUCUCAGUUCGGAUUGUAGUCUGCAACUCGACUACAUGAAGCUGGAAUCGCUAGUAAUCGUAGAUCAGCAUGCUGCGGUGAAUACGCUCCCGGGUCU
rnacentral:rRNA from 1 species